GACGUAGGGCGCGAGCGUUGUCCGGAUUUAUUGGGCGUAAAGAGCUCGUAGGCGGUGUGUCGCGUCGGCCGUGAAAACCUGGGGCUUAACUCUGGGCGUGCGGUCGAUACGGGCAUCACUGGAGUUCGGCAGGGGAGACUAGAAUUCCUGGUGUAGCGGUGAAAUGCGCAGAUAUCAGGAGGAACACCGGUGGCGAAGGCGGGUCUCUGGGCCGAUACUGACGCUGAGGAGCGAAAGCAUGGGUAGCGAACAGG
rnacentral:rRNA from 1 species